rnacentral:rRNA from 1 species
GACGAACGCUGGCGGCGUGCUUAACACAUGCAAGUCGAACGGAAAGGCCCUGCUUUUGUGGGGUGCUCGAGUGGCGAACGGGUGAGUAACACGUGAGUAACCUGCCCUUGACUUUGGGAUAACUUCAGGAAACUGGGGCUAAUACCGGAUAGGAUCUCCUGCUGCAUGGUGGGGGUUGGAACGUUUCGGCGGUUGGGGAUGGACUCGCGGCUUAUCAGCUUGUUGGUGGGGUAGUGGCUUACCAAGGCUUUGACGGGUAGCCGGCCUGAGAGGGUGACCGGCCACAUUGGGACUGAGAUACGGCCCAGACUCCUACGGGAGGCAGAAGUGGGGAAUAUUGCACAAUGGGCGGAAGCCUGAUGCAGCAACGCCGCGUGCGGGAUGACGGCCUUCGGGUUGUAAACCGCUUUCGCCUGUGACGAAGCGUGAGUGACGGUAAUGGGUAAAGAAGCACCGGCUAACUACGUG